rnacentral:rRNA from 1 species
GACGAACGCUGGCGGCAGGCCUAGCACAUGCAAGUCGAACGAAGUCUUCGGACUUAGUGGCGGACGGGUGAGUAACACGUGGGAACGUGCCUUUAGGUUCGGAAUAACUCAGGGAAACUUGUGCUAAUACCGAAUGUGCCCUUCGGGGGAAAGAUUUAUCGCCUUUAGAGCGGCUCGCGUCUGAUUAGCUAGUUGGUGAGGUAAAGGCUCACCAAGGCGACGAUCAGUAGCUGGUCUGAGAGGAUGAUCAGCCACAUUGGGACUGAGACACGGCCCAAACUCCUACGGGAGGCAGCAGUGGGGAAUCUUGCGCAAUGGGCGAAAGCCUGACGCAGCCAUGCCGCGUGAAUGAUGAAGGUCUAGGAUUGUAAAAUUCUUUCACCGGGGACGAUAAUGACGGUACCCGGAGAAGAAGCCCCGGCUAACUUCGUGCCAGCAGCCGCAGUAA